GAUGAACGCUAGCGGCAGGCCUAAUACAUGCAAGUCAAGGGGCCAGCAAUGGCACCGGCGGACGGGUGCGUAACGCGUACAGAACGUACCCUUAGGUGGAGGAUAGCAUUGGGAAACUGGUGGUAAUACUCCAUGGUAUUGUUAGAUGGCAUCAUUUGACAAUUAAAGAUCACGCCUAAGGAUCGCUGUGCGUCUGAUUAGCUAGUUGGUAGGGUAACGGCCUACCAAGGCUACGAUCAGUAGGGGGUGUGAGAGCAUGACCCCCCACAUGGGUACUGAGACACGGACCCAACUCCUACGGGAGGCAGCAGUAAGGAAUAUUGGACAAUGGACGAAAGUCUGAUCCAGCCAUGCCGCGUGAAGGACGAAGGCGCUCAGCGUUGUAAACUCUUUUGGAUGGGGACAAACCACUCGAUUUAUCGGGUGCUGAGGGUACCAUCAGAAUAAGCACGGCUAACUCCGUGCCAGCAGCCGCGGUAAU
rnacentral:rRNA from 1 species